rnacentral:rRNA from 1 species
AGUGAACGCUGGCGGCAGGCCUAACACAUGCAAGUCGAACGGCAGCACAAGAGAGCUUGCUCUCUGGGUGGCGAGUGGCGGACGGGUGAGGAAUGCAUCGGAAUCUGCCCAUUUGUGGGGGAUAACCUCGGGAAACCGGGACUAAUACCGCAUACGACCUACGGGUGAAAGCAGGGGAUCUUCGGACCUUGCGCAGAUGGAUGAGCCGAUGCCGGAUUAGCUAGUUGGGGGGGUAAAGGCCCACCAAGGCGACGAUCCGUAGCUGGUCUGAGAGGAUGAUCAGCCACACUGGGACGGAGACACGGCCCAGACUCCUACGGGAGGCAGCAGUGGGGAAUAUUGGACAAUGGGCGCAAGCCUGAUCCAGCCAUGCCGCGUGUGUGAAGAAGGCCUUCGGGUUGUAAAGCACUUUUGUUGGGAAAGAAAAGCAGCCGGUUAAUACCCGGUUGUCAUGACGGUACCCAAAGAAUAAGCACCGGCUAACUUCGUG